rnacentral:rRNA from 1 species
UGGAUCCAGACUUUGAUCAUGGCUCAGGAUGAACGCUAGCUACAGGCUUAACACAUGCAAGUCGAGGGGAAACGACAUCGAAAGCUUGCUUUUGAUGGGCGUCGACCGGCGCACGGGUGAGUAACGCGUAUCCAACCUGCCCACCACUUGGGGAUAACCUUGCGAAAGUAAGACUAAUACCCAAUGAUAUCUCUAGAAGACAUCUGAAGGAGAUUAAAGAUUUAUCGGUGAUGGAUGGGGAUGCGUCUGAUUAGCUUGUUGGCGGGGUAACGGCCCACCAAGGCUACGAUCAGUAGGGGUUCUGAGAGGAAGGUCCCCCACAUUGGAACUGAGACACGGUCCAAACUCCUACGGGAGGCAGCAGUGAGGAAUAUUGGUCAAUGGGCGAGAGCCUGAACCAGCCAAGUAGCGUGCAGGAUGACGGCCCUAUGGGUUGUAAACUGCUUUUAUAAGGGAAUAAAGUGAGCCUCGUGAGGCUUUUUGCAUGUACCUUAUGAAUAAGGACCGGCUAAUUCCGUGCCAGCAGCCGCGGUAAUACGGAAGGUCCGGGCGUUAUCCGGAUUUAUUGGGUUUAAAGGGAGCGUAGGCCGGAGAUUAAGCGUGUUGUGAAAUGUAGAUGCUCAACAUCUGCACUGCAGCGCGAACUGGUUUCCUUGAGUACGCACAAAGUGGGCGGAAUUCGUGGUGUAGCGGUGAAAUGCUCAGAUAUCACGAAGAACUCCGAUUGCGAAGGCAGCUCACUGGAGCGCAACUGACGCUGAAGCUCGAAAGUGCGGGUAUCGAACAGGAUUAGAUACCCUGGUAGUCCGCACGGUAAACGAUGGAUGCCCGCCGUUGGUCUGAAUAGGUCAGCGGCCAAGCGAAAGCAUUAAGCAUCCCACCUGGGGAGUACGCCGGCAACGGUGCAACUCAAAUGAAUUGACGA